GAAUAUUGGACAAUGGGCGAAAGCCUGAUCCAGCCAUGCCGCGUGUGUGAAGAAGGUCUUCGGAUUGUAAAGCACUUUAAGUUGGGAGGAAGGGCAGUAAGCGAAUACCUUGCUGUUUUGACGUUACCGACAGAAUAAGCACCGGCUAACUCUGUGCCAGCAGCCGCGGUAAUACAGAGGGUGCAAGCGUUAAUCGGAAUUACUGGGCGUAAAGCGCGCGUAGGUGGUUUGUUAAGUUGGAAGUGAAAGCCCCGGGCUCAACCUGGGAACUGCUUCCAAAACUGGCAAGCUAGAGUAUGGCAGAGGGUGGUGGAAUUUCCUGUGUAGCGGUGAAAUGCGUAGAUAUAGGAAGGAACACCAGUGGCGAAGGCAACCCCCUGGGCCUGUACUGACGCUCAUGCACGAAAGCGUGGGGAGCAAACAGG
rnacentral:rRNA from 1 species